GGGGACGUAAAGGUUUCGACAGGGGUGUUGAAGCAGGAUAAGCGAGCGGCGGUUGGUCAGUCCGCCUAAAACAAGACCACCUAAAUAUAAAGGCUAAAAGACCUAAUACUUUCGCAAUCGCAGCAUAAGUCUGCACCGCGCGUCAGCCUAAGUUUACCCGUAGGCUCAGGUACUGGCGUCGACUAUACGGGGAACCCUUGUGUGGACUCCCGUAAGCACAAGGCCUAACGGGAUAUAUGAUGCGGAAGCUUGUUAAUGGGCGUCCGUGGAUUCGAAAUACCAAAUCAUUAACUGCGCUCGGAGAAAAUCCUGGGGAUAUGCUUUUGGACGCGAGUUCGACUCUCGCCGUCUCCACCA
rnacentral:tmRNA from 1 species